AUUGAACGCUGGCGGCAGGCUUAACACAUGCAAGUCGAGCGGAGAUGAGGUGCUUGCACCUUAUCUUAGCGGCGGACGGGUGAGUAAUGCUUAGGAAUCUGCCUAUUAGUGGGGGACAACAUUCCGAAAGGAAUGCUAAUACCGCAUACGUCCUACGGGAGAAAGCAGGGGAUCUUCGGACCUUGCGCUAAUAGAUGGGCCUAAGUCGGAUUAGCUAGUUGGUGGGGUAAAGGCCUACCAAGGCGACGAUCUGUAGCGGGUCUGAGAGGAUGAGCCGCCACACUGGGACUGAGACACGGCCCAGACUCCUACGGGAGGCAGCGGUGGGGAAUAUUGGACAAUGGGGGGAACCCUGAUCCAGCCAUGCCGCGUGUGUGAAGAAGGCCUUAUGGUUGUAAAGCACUUUAAGCGAGGAGGAGGCUACUGAGACUAAUACUCUUGGAUAGUGGUCGUUACUCGCAGAAUAAGCACCGGCUAACUCUGUGCCAGCAGCCGCGGUAACAC
rnacentral:rRNA from 1 species